rnacentral:rRNA from 1 species
UUUGACCUCAAAUCAGGUAGGAUUACCCGCUGAACUUAAGCAUAUCAAUAAGCGGAGGAAAAGAAACUAACAAGGAUUCCCCUAGUAACUGCGAGUGAAGCGGGAAAAGCUCAAAUUUAAAAUCUGGCAGUCUCUCUUUUUUUCUUUGGCUGUCCGAGUUGUAAUCUAGAGAAGUGCUUACCCGUGCUGGACCAUGUAUAAGUCUCCUGGAAUGGAGCGUCAUAGAGGGUGAGAAUCCCGUCUUUGACAUGGACUUGCCAGUGCAUAGUGGUGUGCUCUCAAAGAGUCGAGUUGUUUGGGAAUGCAGCUCUAAAUGGGUGGUAAACUCCAUCUAAAGCUAAAUAUUGGCGAGAGACCGAUAGCGAACAAGUACCGUGAGGGAAAGAUGAAAAGGACUUUGGAAAGAGAGUUAAACAGUAUGUGAAAUUGUUGAAAGGGAAACACUUGAAGUCAGUCGUGUCUGCUUAGGGAUCAACUCAGCUCAUUUUGCUGGGUGAACUUCCUAGUGUGACAGGCCAACAUCAGUUCUGACUGUUGGAAAAGAGCAGAGGGAAUGUGGCACCUUUGGGUGUGUUAUAGCCUUUUGUCAUAUAUAGCAGUCGGGACUGAGGAAUUGCAGCGCGCCGCAAGGCAVGGUCUUUGACCACGUUCGCGCUUARGAUGUUGGCGUUUAAUGGCUUCAAUUGACCCGUCUUGAAACACGGACCAAGGAGUCUAACAUGCCUGCGAGUGUUUGGGUGAAGAAACCCUUGUGCACAAUUAAAGUGAAAGUUGAGAUCCCUGUCGUGGGGAGCAUCGACGCCC